ACUACGGGGGGCAGCAGUGGGGGAUAUUGCACAAUGGGGGGAACCCUGAUGCAGCGACGCCGCGUGGGGGAAGAAGGGCCUCGGCGCGUAAAGCCCUGUCAGCAGGGAAGAAAAUGACGGUACCUGAAGAAGAAGCCCCGGCUAACUACGUGCCAGCAGCCGCGGUAAUACGUAGGGGGCAAGCGUUAUCCGGAUUUACUGGGUGUAAAGGGGGCGCAGGCGGCGAUGCAAGCCAGGAGUGAAAGCCCGGGGCCCAACCCCGGGACUGCUCUUGGAACUGCGUGGCUGGAGUGCAGGAGGGGCAGGCGGAAUUCCUGGUGUAGCGGUGAAAUGCGUAGAUAUCAGGAGGAACACCGGUGGCGAAGGCGGCCUGCUGGACUGCAACUGACGUUGAGGCCCGAAAGCGUGGGGAGCAAACAGGAUUAGAUACCCUAGUAGUC
rnacentral:rRNA from 1 species